rnacentral:lncRNA from 1 species
CUUGAAGAACAAAACUUGACCGAGGUUGAAUAUAAGAAUGAAUUUUCUGUAAAAGAAUGCUGGGACUACCAUGAGAAGUCAUAUCUUCCUGGAUCAGGAAUGGUCAUAUAGAGAAAGAGGAAGGCCCAGCAAUCCCAGCUGAAAUCUUAGACAAGAGUUUAAGGCUAUUGCAAAUUAUUCAGUCGAGCUGUCACAGAACCGCCCCACCAACCCAAAUUGUGAGAUAUAAUAUUAUCAUUGUUUUAGGCAACUAUAUUCUGAGGUGGCUUGUUAAACUGCAAAAUUCAAUGUAUUAAUACAUAUCAACAAAAUCCCAAAUGUAUUUGGUUUGGCAGUCUGGUUACUGAAGAUAACCUUCCUGCAAUCUAUGGCUACAAAUGGUAUCCUCUUGAUCCAGCUCUGGCCAAUGACGCAUACACAUACGUUGCUAAUUGGUGUCUGGUAGUGGAGCCAUCUAAAGGGAGGCAAUUCUUUUAGUUAGAAUGAUUCUUUGGCCCUUUGCUUUUCCUCCUCCUUCUUCCCUGGAAUACAGAUAAAAUAAAGGAAGCAUAUUUCAACCAUGAGAUAAAAGUCCCACUCUAAGAAUGGUGGGACAGGAAAAUAGAAAGCAAUUGAGCCCUGAUGGCAGUUUAGCUGCCCUACCAGGUCAGGACUACACAAUCUCCAGACUUUUUGUUGUAUGAGAAAAAAAAUCUUUAAUCCACUGGAAUAAAUGAAUGCAAAUACUAACUCAACGUAUUAAAGAAGGUGGAGUCACUGACGGUUCCUAUUUUGCUG